AUACGGAGGAUGCAAGCGUUAUCCGGAUUUAUUGGGUUUAAAGGGUGCGUAGGCGGUUUGCUAAGCGGGAGGUGAAAUGCCGGCGCUCAACGUCGGAAGUGCCUCCCGAACUGGUGGACUUGAAUGACUCUGCCGUGGGAGGAAUGUGUAGUGUAGCGGUGAAAUGCUUAGAGAUUACACAGAACACCGAUUGCGAAGGCAUCUCACGAAGGGUUGAUUGACGCUGAGGCACGAAAGCGUGGGGAUCAAACAGGAUUAGAUACCCUGGUAGUCCACGCAGUAAACGAUGAUGGCUAACCGCUGGGCUUAUCAGUUCAGUGGCCAAGCGAAAGCGAUAAGCCAUCCACCUGGGGAGUACGGCCGCAAGGUUGAAACUUAAAGGAAUUGACGGGG
rnacentral:rRNA from 1 species